AACUUACUUUUUUAUGUGAUAAAAUUAAUUUUAUUGGACUUCCAACAUAAAUUGAUUUAGCAAAACUCAGUUCAAAGGUUUAAAUCAGACCUAAAACGUCAGGACCCGCCCACGCGUACCUGCAUGCAGCUGUGGAAGAACAAGCCCAGACACGUUUCUUCACGGAGCCCAAUAGGAAAACACUUUACCGAACUCAUGUUUAGGGUCUUCUAGGCGCGAUGCGAGACGUCACAAGCGGGCUAACGUUGAGCCAAACAGCAGCUUCGAGGCACGGGCGGAAAUGAGAAGGAGUUUGGCCCCCAGUCAGGUCGCCAAACGGAAGCAAGGGGAGGAUGAUCAUCGAGACGAAAUAUAGUAUAUUAACCACGAGCGGUUCUCGAGAGAAGAUGAAUGGAGAAAAUUGGGACAGUGAUGAAGAAGUCCAAGUUCCAUGGCCACUCAACAAAGCAGGAGGAAGGAAGCAGUCACAAACCAAAUACGUGGCAAGAAUUCUGAGAUUUGGUGAAGACACACGUGAACUGACGCCAUAUU